CCCAAUCUCAAGCCCAAGUCUACGCCCAAGCUCCAUAUAUUCCUCCCCACCAUUACUACCCUCCACAAAACCCUUUAUAUUCCAUUCCACCACCCCCGUACCCAGUAUAUAGCGUGCAGCCAUAUGCCCAAACUCCUUCUUACCCGCAGUGGCGCACGCAAGCUCCACAAAAUCACCCAUUCACUCCACCAAAUUACCAAAACC
rnacentral:lncRNA from 1 species